rnacentral:rRNA from 1 species
ACAAGUUAAGCGAAUAAGGGCAUAUGGUGGAUGCCUUGGCGCCAGGAGCCGAAGAAGGACGCGGUAAGCUGCGAAAAGGUACGGGGAAGAGCAAGCAUCUAUUGAUCCGUACAUAUCCGAAUGGGGCAACCCGGCAGAAGAAGUUCUGUCAUCCGAAAGGAAGGUAAACCCGGGGAACUGAAACAUCUAAGUACCCGGAGGAAAAGAAAUCAAACGAGAUACCCAAAGUAGCGGCGAGCGAAAUGGGAAGAAGCCCAAACCGUACCACUUCGGUGGUACGGGGUUGAGGACCGGCACAAGUUAAGUAACGUUCAGCUGAAUGACCUGGAAAGGUCAGGCAUAGGAGGUAAAACCCCCGUAGGCGAAGGACGGGACGUAAUGGCCGGGAUCCAGAGUAUCGCGGGACACGAGAA